CAGAUCCUCCAACUGCUUCUUCAGCUUAGCCAUCUCCGCUGGAGCCAUCCGUACAGUGCCUUAGACAACGGCGUUGUCCCAGGCUUUAACUCAAUCGUGAAGAGAUCAGACCGAGAUGGUGGUAACCCCUUCAACGACUGAAACACAUCUUCGAACUCCUGGACCACUCGGAUCUUAUCCACUACUACCUCUCUGAUCGUCUCUAGCAUCACAAUCGUCGCCAAGUAGACUUCCCGCCCCUUCCGGAUCAUCUUAUCCGCCUGCAUCGCC
rnacentral:lncRNA from 1 species